rnacentral:lncRNA from 1 species
AAAGAACAGGUCCUUCCCUACACUUACCAAUAAAUGCAUCAGUAAAUAAAUUUAACCUAAUAACAACUAUAUAUAUAUAUAUAACUGACAAGCAAGCAGUUCCCUGUUCCUAUUCCUAAACAAUUUCCUAAUUCCAUGUCAAUUACUUGGAAAUUUCAAAUUGGAAAAUAGUAAGCAACAAAGUUAUCUCUGCCAAUACCACAAAAAAAAAAAAAAAACAAACAUACACCAUAUUGACAAUAAAGUACUUCAACUUGUACUACUCAUUCAAAAAUAUAAUCUUGAACUGUAUGAUCAUGCCAUUCAGGUAAAACUUAAGAGGGCAUUGCUUGCAAUAGCUUGUCAUAGUUCUAUCAAAGAGCAGAAUACAUUACACAUUGGCAGUUUGUUUAAAUGUAUUUAUUGAAAUAAGUGCUUAUUUUAAUAAACUAAGCAAUUUUCUUUUUCUUAGUGUGAUCUACUUUAAAAUAAUAAUAAUAAUUUUCUGCUUAUUUUAAAAGAACACUUAUUAUAAAGUUAUUAUUUUAAGUUUAAACAAACCCACCAUCACCUUAUGCGGCCUGAGGAUACCCAUAUCCCAAAUGAAAAGAUAGAGUCUCUUUUACACCAGAACCCAAAUCACCAUAGCAAAAUCUCACCAUGCUUAUUUAAUGCCAGGAAAGGGUAACAUUUUGAUCCAAAACAAAUUCAAUAGCAUACAACAUUAACUUAAAAAACAAUCCUUUUUUAUUCUACAACUCCCUUGCAAGGGAUAAGGUGAAAAAAUUGCAUUACAUGACCUUACAACGCGGGUGGCCCGAAGAAUGUCACGGUAGAGACUCAGCGCUUCGCGGCGAGUGCUGGUGAGUUGCCUCCGAUUCUCCAACUCGUUUUCGUUGUUGUUUUUAACGAGAUGCCUCUUGAGAAGCUCCUCUACGGUAUCAGGGCCCUCGUGCAAUAGACGCAGCUGCUGACUCGGGCUAUCAAUACAAUUCCAAACGCAUCGCCAUUUUUGCAGCCUUCCCCUCAUUUCUCUUCUUUCACGCUCCCUCAGGCCACUCUAUUUUAUUUAUUC